UCUUUUGUACAACGGUAUUUAUAGUUUUGGAACAAAACAACGCUUUACAGAAAACAUUUGCAAGGAUAUUAGCAUCAAUUCUUAAAAGGACUGCACCAUUUUUAAGAAAGGAAACGUAAAAUAUAUCAAGGUUACUGGUGGUGAAAAUGAGCUGAAAAGAAAGAAACAGACCAGUAGUAAUAAAGAAAUCACAGCUGAGGUUGCUGUGAUUGAAUGGACAAAGAAAAGGGUGUUUAUUUGAAUUCUUGCUGAUAAUGGUAAAUGGAGUUUUCAAAAAGGCCAGUUGGAUGCGGUUUCAAUAUAAAGUUUGCAUUGCGAAAGCUUAACAAGAAAGAUGAACUUGAAAUUGACUUAAGUUAUAUGAUACCUAAUUUUUGUGAGAAAAUCAACAGAGACACAAAUUUAUUGGCGGCGACGGAAAGGGACUAUACCAUCAAAUGUGUAACAGCUUACUUUACUCUAAGUAAAACACUGUUUGUUUUAAUUUAUGGACCAUCAUGAACAUAUGUUAUGAUCCGUAAUUGUGGCAUGUAUGCAAUUUUGCGUUUUGUUCAUAUCUGAUUCAUUUGAUUGAUAUUAUUGUGUUGUUUUAGAUGCUGUAUUUUAAACUUCUAUAUAACAGAAACUGAAUACAAAAUCUCUUGCACCAUUUAUAUAGUAAUUUGCCUUAUUAAUUAUAAAUGUCUACAUUUGAAAGGAACGAAAGUAAAUCAUUCUGCAAAUGUUGUAGCUAUUUCUAAAACUAAAUGUAUUCAAAAUACCAUUUCCACGUAAUAUUUCUGUUUCAGAACUCAUUUAAAUAGAACAUUAGAAAUCUAAUAUCUGAUUUACCUUUAAAUUGUUCUAUUUGUAUUAAAACAUAUAACAGGAUAUUGAACAGCUAACGCGCGUAUUAGUAUCGUUAUGUAAUACAGUUUAAAGCACGAACCGUUGUCUUACUAAUUAAAUUAACUAUUUUCUGUUGUAUAUAUUUUACUUGUUUUCCUAUUAACAAAAUUGUUAACUGUAUGCAACAGGCCUUGCAAUUAGAUUGUUAAAUACUCUAGUGAUUGAACGGUACUUUUAUAUUGUUGAUUACAUGUAUAUUAUUAUUUUUGGAGGGACAUAUUUAUUUUAUAUCGAUGUGUACUUUUUACAUUUUUGUAUGUUUUCUUACAAAAAAAAUGUUAUAUUCUUACUUAAUGAACAUAUGUCAAUGUAUUUCGUCCUUUUAGAUAUUUGAGAAUUAUGUGUUUAGUAAUUUUACAUAUGUUGAAUUAGCAUGAAUGUUUUGGCGCGCUGCACCUAUUAGUUAAAGCUUUUUUAGUAUUCGUAGUACCCCAUAGUUUUUGUCUUACAUUAAAUCUCCGACAUUCCUACUGAAAAGAUCAAACCCAAUUACAUAAAUAUAUUAUAACACUAUUCCGUACGCGUAAAGUACUGUGUUUUUACACUUUUGACACGGACGCGCUUAAAUAGCAUAGUGAUCCUGCAUUAACCUGCCAUAAAACAAUACUAGGUUGUCUGGCAGCUAAAACCAACUCACUUAAAAACAAAUACAUUUUUCGUAUGUCCAUCGAACUAUAAAAAACGGUUUAAAUCAUAUCAUUAACGAAGGCCAAAUGUGUCAUAAUUUACUGAACUAGUGGUACAUGUAGACAGGUUAUUAUUAGAAAAUUAUCAGAAAUUAUUUAUAAUGCAUUCAUACUGAGAACACUGUUAUUGUAAAUAGUGUUAAACUUUUAGAUCUACGCAUCUAAAUAACAGUUCUGUGUGUCCCCCGUUAUAUGACUGAAAUACUGUUGAAAAGCGGCGUUUAUACCCAAACGAACAAACAAACUACCGUGUAUAGUUGUAAAAUGUACAAAACUCGUCUUGAUAACAAUUUAUGUUUCAUGAAAAAUAAUUAUUGUAUUCAAACAUGCUUAAUUUUUACGUUGUUUGUAUCAAAUCAAAUAACAACAUCUUAAUGUAUAUGUUUCAAUGGUAUGACAAAACAACUAGUGUUUACCUCGACAAAAUAUUAAAUAUCUUUCUGUCGGUCUGCUUUUAAUGAAAAGCAAUUGGCAAUAAGUAAGCUUUUGAUACAAGGUACAGAGCAUCAAAUAUCGGCAAAAUUUAUCACAAAACAGGAAAACAGAGGUUUCUAGCCAGUGUGUUUAUAUAAGUCAAACCUGUCUUUAAAAAACACCCUUAGGACAGCUAAAACGUGUUCUUAGAGCCAGGUGGUCUCUAUUCAAAGCCGGUCUUUAACAAAGGCUUGACUGUACACACCACAUGUACACAUUGCAAAGAUUUAUACUAGUUAUAUCUUGAACACACAAAAAUUUAAUUAAGUUUAAAUUGUUUAAAUAAAAGUACACCUUUUUAUUUAAUAUAUUCAGCGUUAAAACUGCAUAUUCCUGGCAAAUAAUAGGCUUUAAUGUCUAAACCGUCUGCUUAUGAGGUUCAUUCUUUAUUCCAGUUUUUGUGAUCUGACUAGCUUUUCCCGGCAAAUUAAUUUCUUUGGUAGUUUGGAAACUAUGAUUUACAAAGUUUUGCUUUAAAAUCUAAUUACACAAACCUAAUGAUAAAUAAUGUUUGUGAAUUUAUUAUUCGGUAGUUGAUUCGAAUGUUAAGCGUGCAUGUUUCAUAUUAAAAACCUGCAUUAGCGCUCGUUCGGCAUUUUAUAUGACAGUUGCGAGUUAAUUUGAAGUGCCCCGUUGAUCUAUUUACUAUUUGUUUCUUUUUAUACCUUACACUGACACAGAAGACAGUGUUUCGUGUGCUUGGUUUUGUAUUUGCUGAGUUUUAAAGUUGUAAUCCUUAGUCAAUGCAUCAGUUUGGGAAAGACCUAAACCGUUUAUUAUUUAAUGGAUUUGUGAUACUAUUAAGAAGUAAAUAGUCAUACACUUUACUACCUUACUAGACCAAGUUUGUUUAAAUUCUUGGAUUUAAUACUAUUUGAAAAAAAGAUGGAACUUGAUAGAUUAGCAUUAUACUGUAAAAUACACUGUGUAAGAUAAACUCUAUUCUGAAUUCUAUUACUUAAUAGUUUUAUACUGUUCAACCUCAACUGUUUACUGUU
rnacentral:lncRNA from 1 species